rnacentral:rRNA from 1 species
GACGAACGCUGGCGGCGUGCUUAACACAUGCAAGUCGAACGGAAAGGCCCUGCUUUUGUGGGGUGCUCGAGUGGCGAACGGGUGAGUAACACGUGAGUAACCUGCCCUUGACUUUGGGAUAACUUCAGGAAACUGGGGCUAAUACCGGAUAGGAGCUCCUGCUGCAUGGUGGGGGUUGGAAAGUUUCGGCUGUUGGGGAUGGACUCGCGGCUUAUCAGCUUGUUGGUUGGGUAGUUGCUUACCAAGGCUUUGACGGGUAGCCGGCCUGGGAGGGUGACCGGCCACAUUGGGACUGAGAUACGGCCCAGACUCCUACGGGAGGCAGCAGUGGGGAAUAUGGCACAGUGGGCGGAAGCCUGAUGCAGCAACGCCGCGUGCGGGAUGACGGCCUUCGGGUUGUAAACCGCUUUCGCCUGUGACGAAGCGUGAGUGACGGUAAUGAGUAAAGAAGCACCGGCUAACUACGUG